CUGCAUGGCUGUCGUCAGCUCGUGUCGUGAGAUGCUGGGUUAAGUCCCGCAACGAGCGCAACCCUUUUCCUUGUUUGCCAGCGGGUUAAGCCGGGAACUUUAAGGAUACUGCCAGUGACAAACUGGAGGAAGGCGGGGACGACGUCAAGUCAUCGUGGCCCUUACGACCAGGGCUACACACGUGCUACAAUGGUAGGUACAGAGGGUUGCUACACAGCGAUGUGACGCUAAUCUCAAAAGGCCUAUCGUAGUCCGGAUUGGAGUCUGCAACUCGACUCCAUGAAGUCGGAAUCGCUAGUAAUCGCAGAUCAGAAUGCUGCGGUGAAUACGUU
rnacentral:rRNA from 1 species